GUCCAAUAUUUUUUACACGAAAACAAAAGUUUAAAAUCAGGGCAGAACAAACCCAAUGAAUAUUGCAAUAAUCGUCGUAGGUAAUUAUCAACACCAAUAUAAAAUAAAAUUUUAAACCUUUCACUGCAGGAAACCACCCAUUCACCAGUAAUAGUAAAUAAUGUUUGUUCCUAAUAAAUACAUAGACGAGAAGGGAAAAGAUACUCAAGUCAAAUACAUAAUCAUAAUUCAUAUAGUAUUUGUUUAUUUAAGGGUAAUUAUCAUAGAUUCGAGUAAAAGAUUUCACGAGUAAAACUGCUUGAUCCAGCAAGUUGUGUUUUUGUUGGAGUAAAACUGCUAAGUUGCGUUCUAUGGGUGUUAAUAUAUGUGUCUACUCGUCAAGGAGUGUGAUUUGAUGUUUAUUUCACUAUUUUGAGUGUCACUUUAGUUUACAACAUACAAUCGAUUGGAUGGUAUGCCAAGCGUAAUUCAGUCUACUUCAAA
rnacentral:lncRNA from 1 species